CUCCCUUCAAACCCAGCUAUUAGAGACGGCCAUCCUAGACAACCUUGUAACCGAAGCUUCAUCGUUUCUUGCAUUUCACUAUUACUUUCACGUGGCAAGCACUUUGCAAAGCUCCCUGAGAAGUCGGAGCACCCCACAAGGCAGCCUGCUCCAGCUGCGGUGACCUCAGCUCCGCCGUCACGUUCACGUCAAGGCCACGCCCGCCCAGGACAUCCCCUCCAAGUAAGGGGCAAACUGUGCAUCUGGUGGCCUCCAAGACACAAAGGGAACCAGGGCACCUGCUUUGGGCUCUUCAGGGUUCCCAGUGGACCCCACUCUUGCAAGAGGACAAAGUGAGAGCCCUGGUGAACUGCAAAUUCUGGUGGAUGCCUGGCAGUUCCAUUGAUUCCUUGUGCUCAGGGACUAGCAGACGAGAAGAAUCACCCCACUGGCAGGGAUAACUGACCCUGGUGAGCAAGAGGAGGCUUUUAGACAACGGGGACAGGAAAUAACUUGUCCAGAACCCAGAUGACCCAUCGGGUGCUUCCUGGUUCUCCACGAACCCCUGGUAGCUGUGAACUCGUGCACAGAGCAUCAGCCCCGCUCUGAGGAGGGCAUGCUGGAGUGACGGUCCGGGUCACGCCACCCGAUGGCCCUGCUGCUCUGACAGCUUAGGGAGAGGGGAAUGUAGAAUGUAGAGAAGAAGAGGGAGAAGAUCAGCAUUUGCAGCCCCACAACCAACUGCAGAGACAGGGUUCCUAGCUGGCUUAGUAACUUUCCUUUUCUAAGCUUUCCCUCAAGAAGAGAGGUUGAUAGGAGCUGCUCCCCAGAUGUGUUGGGGGGCACUCUUGGCAAUGGAAGGGGAGAUUGUGUUGGCCGUGGCUCUGCCCUGCUCGGGUCUCUCUUCCGGAGAACUUGCUGUGAGGAGGGAGAUGGGGGAACAGGCUCAAGCUGCUGCACCUUUGGGACCUGGCAGGGUUAGUGCCGAGGCCACACUCUACCUAGACUCCGGGCCAUUCCUGCUCUGCAGGCUGAUGUGUGCUGUGCUCCCUGUCGACCUGGCUGAAAUUUAUUCGCUGCACUGCAGCCUGAGGCUCCUCCACCUCACCUCCUUCCUUCCCCGUUCUGCAGGUGUCUGACCUGUGCCGUGACCUAAAGGUUCUCCCCACUACUCCUGCUUCUUUUGGCUUUUAUCCUUUGCCUGUGCCUGCCUCCCCCAUCCCCCACCGUGACUCGUUUGUAUAUCUAAUUCUGUCCUGGCACCUGCUUUUUGGAGACCCUGAACGGAUACACCCAGUAUCCUUUUCAAAACACAUACACACAUACACUCACAUUUACAGGUGGGCCUUGGUCAAAGAGUUGAAAGACUGAUUCAGAGCUUCAUAUACUCAAAUGGAAAUUUAGAUUUCAUGACUCUCAAAAGAGAAAGAGGGAACUAUGUACUGAUACAAAAAACAAUCCCCAAGAUUUAUUAGCUGGAAAAAAGCAAGACACAGACCAAUAUAUGUAACAUGGUGUAUGUGUAUGUAUGUAAAAACGUGUAAAGAUACAAAGAAAAAUAAAGGGGGCAGGGUAGCAAUGCCCACUA